GAGUACUAUAGCAUGAAUGCAACUUGACAUGGCACUUCUUUGCAUCUUAUUCGUUGCAUCUCAUAAUGUUAUACAAAGCAAAACAUGUGACAAAAAAAUACAAGUUAAAGAAAACGAAGAACAAAAUGGAACAAGCUAAUUACAUUACAUGAAAAAAUACAAAAAAACAAUGCAAGACAUUUUUUUGAUAAAUUUACUCUGGUGAACUAUAGUCACAAGUAGUUAUGUGCAUUAUUGUUACUGC
rnacentral:lncRNA from 1 species